CUACGUAGGUGGCAAGCGUUGUCCGGAUUUACUGGGCGUAAAGGGAGCGUAGGUGGAUAUUUAAGUGGGAUGUGAAAUACUCGGGCUUAACCUGGGUGCUGCAUUCCAAACUGGAUAUCUAGAGCGCAGGAGAGGAAAGUAGAAUUCCUAGUGUAGCGGUGAAAUGCGUAGAGAUUAGGAAGAAUACCAGUGGCGAAGGCGACUUUCUGGACUUUAACUGACACUGAGUCUCGAAAGCGUGGGGGGCAAACAGGAUUGGAUACCCUGGUAUUCAACGCCGUAAACGAUGAAUACUAGGUGUAGGGGUUGUCAUGACCUCUGUGCCGCCGCUAACGCAUUAAGUAUUCCGCCUGGGGAGUACGGUCGCAAGAUUAA
rnacentral:rRNA from 1 species